rnacentral:rRNA from 1 species
AUCCUGGCUCAGGAUGAACGCUAGCUACAGGCUUAACACAUGCAAGUCGAGGGGCAGCAUAACGAUAGCUUGCUAUUGUUGAUGGCGACCGGCGCACGGGUGAGUAACGCGUAUCCAACCUGCCCUUGUCCAUCGGAUAACCCGUCGAAAGGCGAACUAACACGAUAUGCAGUUCACAGCAGGCAUCUAACGUGAACGAAAUGUGAAGGAAAAGGAUGGGGAUGCGUCUGAUUAGCUUGUUGGCGGGGUAACGGCCCACCAAGGCGACGAUCAGUAGGGGUUCUGAGAGGAAGGUCCCCCACAUUGGAACUGAGACACGGUCCAAACUCCUACGGGAGGCAGCAGUGAGGAAUAUUGGUCAAUGGACGAGAGUCUGAACCAGCCAAGUAGCGUGCAGGACGACGGCCCUAUGGGUUGUAAACUGCUUUUAUAAGGGAAUAAAGUGAGCUACGUGUAGCUUUUUGCAUGUACCUUAUGAAUAAGGACCGGCUAAUUCCGUG